AACACCAUUGGCAGCAGGAUCAACGAACUCCCUAAGGGCUAUGACACCAACUACGCACUUGAUGGAAGUGGAAACAAGAAGUUGAGGAAAGCAGCAAUUGUGCAUGACGAGAAGUCUGGAAGAGCAAUGGAGAUAUUAACCAAUCAACCUGGUGUGCAGUUGUUUACUAGCAACACUUUGAACGUGAAGGGAAAAGGUGGUUUUAUGUAUAAACCUCAUGGAGCUCUAUCUCUAGAGACUCAAGGAUUUCCUGAUUCUGUUAACCGUCCCAACUUCCCUUCACAGAUUGUGAAUCCAGGGAAGCCCUACAAGCAUUACAUGUUGUUCAAGUUCUCUACUUUCUAGAUAAUUUUCACGACAUAAACACAACAAGUACAUUAUGUACGUGUUUCGAGACUGCUUUUCGGUAGUUUCAAAGUCGGAGGAUGUCGUUUCUUCUUUUUAAUGUCUGAUGCAAUAUAUUGCUCUAGAAAAUGAAUGAAUAAUCCCUGAAUAGAUCAUACUAGUUACAUGCCCGCGCGAUGCCGCGGGUCAAUUAUAUUUUGUAUUUUAAAAAUAGUUAAGAUUUAAAAGUAUUAGGUUUUUUUACAAAGUUAUACCCAAGAGUCUCAGGUUUGGUUGCAACGCCUGAUCCAAGAGUAAUGUUUAUAAUAUUAAUAAUAACAUUAAACUUGGGUUAACCCUUAAUAUAAAAGUGUCUGGAUUGCAAUACCAGACCCAAUAACAUUGGACAUGGGUCUGGCUGCAAGGUUGUGUAUAAAAGUGUGGUAAUUUAAUAAAUUAGUUAAAAAAAAACCAACAGGAAAAAAAAAACUAAUGAAAAAAAAGAAAAACAAAUAUGAAUUAAUUGGGUUAACCCUUCAAACCAGGUUAACCCGUCAUACAUUGAAUUUGCAUCGUGAAAGCUUGAUAGUUAAAAAGAAAAAAAAAAUUAAUGGGUUAACCCAGAAUUAACUGGGCUAACUCGUCAAACCAGGUUAACCUGUCAAACCCGGAAUCUGUGUAAUGAAAGUUUGAUAACUAAAUAGAAAAAAAUUUAACAUUAACAAUUUAAAUUAAACAAAAAAAAUUAAUUAAAAAAAAAGCAUCAGCCUUUUCACAGUGGACUGCACUGUGCAGUUCACAGUUAAAGGCAUAAAAAAAAAACUAAAGGCAUAAGUCGAGAACUACUUAGAAAAAAAUUUAAUAUUAAUAAACUAUAUUAAUUAAAUAAAAUUAAUUAAAAAUAACAAAUAAAAGAAAAAAAACCUCUAAGAAGAAAAAAAACAAAAUAGAAAGAAAUUUAACAUUAACAAACUAAACUAAACGAAACGAAAAAAAAUAAUUAAAAAGAAAAAAAAAGCAAAAAAUAAAAUAAAAUUCAUGUUAACUCGUCAAACCAAGUUAACCCGUUAAACCCGGGAUCUGUGUCAUGAAUGUCUGGUAACUAAAUAAAAAAAAGUGAAUAUUAACAAACUGAACUAAACAAAAAAAAUUAAUUAAAAAGAAAAAAAAUCCGGGUUAACUCGUCAAACCAUGUUAAUCUGUUAAACCCAGUAUUUGUGUCAUGAAAGUCUGAUAACUAAAUAAAUAAAAAAAUAAACAUUAACAAACUAAAUUAAAAAAAAAUAUUUAUGAAAAUAAUAAUAAUAAAAAAUUGACGGGUCAACCCGGAAUUAACUGGGUUCACCCGUGAAACCAGGUUAACCCGUGAAACUCGAGAUAUGUGUCAUGAAAGUCUAAUAACUAAAUAGAAAGAAAUUUAACAUUAACAAACUAAACUAAACGAAAAAAAGUAAUUAAAAAAAAUAAAGAAAAAAGCAAAACAAAUCCCAAAAAGCAUAAAAAAAACAGCUAAAAAAACUUAGAUAACCUUAAAAAAAAAACAUUUAUGAAAAUAAUAAUAAUAAAAAAUUGACGGGUCAACCCGGAAUUAACUGGGUUCACCCGUGAAACCAGGUUAACCCGUGAAACUCGAGAUAUGUGUCAUGAAAGUCUAAUAACUAAAUAGAAAGAAAUUUAACAUUAACAAACUAAACUAAACGAAAAAAAUUAAUUAAAAAAAAUAAAGAAAAAAGCAAAAAAAACUCCCAAAAAACAUAAAAAAAACCGCUAAAAAAACUUAGAUAACCUUAAAAAAAAAAAAAAAAAAAAAACCGCCUAAGGAAUAGAUCAUACUAGUUACAUGCCCCGCGCGAUGCCGCGGGUCAAUUAUUUUUUGCAUUUUAAAAAUAGUUAAGAUUUAAAAGUAUUAGGUUUUUUUACAAAGUUAUACCCAAGAGUCUCAGGUUUGGUUGCAACGCCUGAUCCAAGAGUAAUGUUUAUAAUAUUAAUAAUAACAUUAAACUUGGGUUAACCCUUAGCAUAAAAGUGUCUGGAUUGCAAUACCAGACCCAAUAACAUUGGACAUGGGUCUGGCUGCAAGGUUGUGUAUAAAAGUGUGAUAAUUUAAUAAAUUAGUUAAAAAAAAACCAACAGGAAAAAAAAAACUAAUGAAAAAAAAGAAAAACAAAUAUGAAUUAAUUGGGUUAACCCUUCAAACCAGGUUAACCCGUCAUACAUUGAAUUUGCAUCGUGAAAGCUUGAUAGUUAAAAAGAAAAAAACAAAUUAAUGGGUUAACCCAGAAUUAACUGGGCUAACUCGUCAAACCAGGUUAACCUGUCAAACCCAGAAUCGGUGUAAUGAAAGUUUGAUAACUAAAUAUAAAAAAAUUUAACAUUAACAAUUUAAAUUAAACAAAAAAAAUUAAUUAAAAAAAAAAAGCAUCAGCCUUUUCACAGUGGACUGCACUGUGCAGUUCACAGUCAAAGGCAUAAAAAAAAAACUAAAGGCAUCAGUCGAGAACUACUUAGAAAAAAAUUUAAUAUUAAUAAACUAAAUUAAUUAAAUAAAAUUAAUUAAAAAUAACAAAUAAAAGAAAAAAAACCUCUAAGAAGAAAAAAAACUAAAUAGAAAGAAAUUUAACAUUAACAAACUAAACUAAACGAAACGAAAAAAAAUAAUUAAAAAGAAAAAAAAAGCAAAAAAUAAAAUAAAAUUCAUGUUAACUCGUCAAACCAAGUUAACCCGUUAAACCUGGGAUCUGUGUCAUGAAUGUUUGGUAACUAAAUAAAAAAAAGUGAAUAUUAACAAACUGAACUAAACAAAAAAAAUUAAUUAAAAAGAAAAAAAAUCCGGGUUAACUCGUCAAACCAUGUUAAUCUGUUAAACCCAGUAUUUGUGUCAUGAAAGUCUGAUAACUAAAUAAAUAAAAAAAUAAACAUUAACAAACUAAAUUAAAAAAAAAUAUUUAUGAAAAUAAUAAUAAUAAAAAAUUGACGGGUCAACCCGGAAUUAACUGGGUUCACCCGUGAAACCAGGUUAACCCGUGAAACUCGAGAUAUGUGUCAUGAAAGUCUAAUAACUAAAUAGAAAGAAAUUUAACAUUAACAAACUAAACUAAACGAAAAAAAGUAAUUAAAAAAAAUAAAGAAAAAAGCAAAACAAAUCCCAAAAAGCAUAAAAAAAACAGCUAAAAAAACUUAGAUAACCUUAAAAAAAAAACAUUUAUGAAAAUAAUAAUAAUAAAAAAUUGACGGGUCAACCCGGAAUUAACUGGGUUCACCCGUGAAACCAGGUUAACCCGUGAAACUCGAGAUAUGUGUCAUGAAAGUCUAAUAACUAAAUAGAAAGAAAUUUAACAUUAACAAACUAAACUAAACGAAAAAAAGUAAUUAAAAAAAAUAAAGAAAAAAGCAAAACAAAUCCCAAAAAGCAUAAAAAAAACAGCUAAAAAAACUUAGAUAACCUUAAAAAAAAAACAUUUAUGAAAAUAAUAAUAAUAAAAAAUUGACGGGUCAACCCGGAAUUAACUGGGUUCACCCGUGAAACCAGGUUAACCCGUGAAACUCGAGAUAUGUGUCAUGAAAGUCUAAUAACUAAAUAGAAAGAAAUUUAACAUUAACAAACUAAACUAAACGAAAAAAAUUAAUUAAAAAAAAUAAAGAAAAAAGCAAAAAAAAAUCCCAAAAAACAUAAAAAAAACAGCUAAAAAAACUUAGAUAACCUUAAAAAAAAAAAAAAAAAAAAAACCGCCUAAGGAAGGAGUCAGUGUUUUACUGUGGACUGCACUAGCCGCGGGUCAAUUAUUUUUUGCAUUUUAAAAAUAGUUAAGAUCUAAAAGUAUUAGGUUUUUUUACAAAGUUAUACCCAAGAGUCUCAGGUUUGGUUGCAACGCCUGAUCCAAGAGUAAUGUUUAUAAUAUUAAUAAUAACAGUAAACUUGGGUUAACCCUUAGCAUAAAAGUGUCUGGAUUGCAAUACCAGAUCCAAUAACAUUGGACAUGGAUCUGGCUGCAAGGUUGUGUAUAAAAGUGUGAUAAUUUAAUAAAUUAGUUAAAAAAAAACCAACAGGAAAAAAAAAACUAAUGAAAAAAAAGAAAAAAAAUAUGAAUUAAUUGGGUUAACCCUUCAAACCAGGUUAACCCGUCAUACAUUGAAUUUGCAUCGUGAAAGCUUGAUAGUUAAAAAGAAAAAAAAAAUUAAUGGGUUAACCCAGAAUUAACUGGGCUAACUCGUCAAACCAGGUUAACCUGUCAAACCCAGAAUCUGUGUAAUGAAAGUUUGAUAACUAAAUAGAAAAAAAUUUAACAUUAACAAUUUAAAUUAAACAAAAAAAAUUAAUUAAAAAAAAAAAAGCAUCAGCCUUUUCACAGUGGACUGCACUGUGCAGUUCACAGUUAAAGGCAUAAAAAAAAAACUAAAGGCAUCAGUCGAGAACUACUUAGAAAAAAAUUUAAUAUUAAUAAACUAAAUUAAUUAAAUAAAAUUAAUUAAAAAUAACAAAUAAAAGAAAAAAAAACCUCUAAGAAGAAAAAAAACAAAAUAGAAAGAAAUUUAACAUUAACAAACUAAACUAAAUGAAACGAAAAAAAAUAAUUAAAAAGAAAAAAAAUGCAAAAAAUAAAAUAAAAUUCAUGUUAACUCCUCAAACCAAGUUAACCCGUUAAACCCGGGAUCUGUGUCAUGAAUGUCUGGUAACUAAAUAAAAAAAAGUGAAUAUUAACAAACUGAACUAAACAAAAAAAAUUAAUUAAAAAGAAAAAAAAUCCGGGUUAACUCGUCAAACCAUGUUAAUCUGUUAAACCCAGUAUUUGUGUCAUGAAAGUCUGAUAACUAAAUAAAUAAAAAAAUAAACAUUAACAAACUAAAUUAAAAAAAAAAUUUAUGAAAAUAAUAAUAAAAAAAAAUUGACGGGUCAACCCGGAAUUAACUGGGUUCACCCGUGAAACCAGGUUAACCCGUGAAACUCGAGAUAUGUGUCAUGAAAGUCUAAUAACUAAAUAGAAAGAAAUUUAACAUUAACAAACUAAACUAAACGAAAAAAAUUAAUUAAAAAAAAUAAAGAAAAAAGCAAAAAAAAUCCCAAAAAGCAUAAAAAAAACAGCUAAAAAAACUUAGAUAACCUUAAAAAAAAAACAUUUAUGAAAAUAAUAAUAAUAAAAAAUUGACGGGUCAACCCGGAAUUAACUGGGUUCACUCGUGAAACCAGGUUAACCCGUGAAACUCGAGAUAUGUGUCAUGAAAGUCUAAUAACUAAAUAGAAAGAAAUUUAACAUUAACAAACUAAACUAAACGAAAAAAAUUAAUUAAAAAAAAUAAAGAAAAAGGCAAAAAAAAAUCCCAAAAAACAUAAAAAAAACAGCUAAAAAAACUUAGAUAACCUUAAAAAAAAAAAAACCGCCUAAGGAAGGAGUCAGUGUUUUACUGUGGACUGCACUAGCCGCGGGUCAAUUAUUUUUUGCAUUUUAAAAAUAGUUAAGAUCUAAAAGUAUUAGGUUUUUUUACAAAGUUAUACCCAAGAGUCUCAGGUUUGGUUGCAACGCCUGAUCCAAGAGUAANNNNNNNNNNNNNNNNNNNNNNNNNNNNNNNNNNNNNNNNNNNNNNNNNNNNNNNNNNNNNNNNNNNNNNNNNNNNNNNNNNNNNNNNNNNNNNNNNNNNNNNNNNNNNNNNNNNNNNNNNNNNNNNNNNNNNNNNNNNNNNNNNNNNNNNNNNNNNNNNNNNNNNNNNNNNNNNNNNNNNNNNNNNNNNNNNNNNNNNNNNNNNNNNNNNNNNNNNNNNNNNNNNNNNNNNNNNNNNNNNNNNNNNNNNNNNNNNNNNNNNNNNNNNNNNNNNNAGAAAAAAACAAAUUAAUGGGUUAACCCAGAAUUAACUGGGCUAACUCGUCAAACCAGGUUAACCUGUCAAACCCAGAAUCCGUGUAAUGAAAGUUUGAUAACUAAAUAGAAAAAAAAUUUAACAUUAACAAUUUAAAUCCAACAAAAAAAAUUUAUUAAAAAAAAGCUUCAAUCUUUUCACAGUGGACUUCACGGUGCAGUUCACAGUCAAAGACAUAAAAAAAAAACUUAAGGCCUCAAUCAGUCGAGAACUACUUAGAAAAAAAUUUAAUAUUGAUAAACUAAAUUUAUUAAAGAAAAUUCAUUUAAAAUACCCAAUUAAAGAAAAAAAACCUCUAAGGAGAAAAAAAACUCAAUAGAAAGAAAUUUUACCUUUCCCAAGUUAACUAAACGAAAAAAAUUUAUUUAAAAAAAAUAAAAAAAAAAGCAAAAAAAAUCCCAAAAAGCAUAAAAAAACUUAGAUAACCUUAAAAAAAAAAACCGCCUAAGGAAGGAGUCAAGUGUUAUACUGUGGACUGCACAGUGCAGUCCACAGUAAAACACUGACUCCUUUUAGUUAUAGUUUAAUUGCUCGUAAGAUAUUUAUUGACAAUAAUGAUGAAUAAAAUAAAGAUGACGACUAAACAGUAUAUUUGAACUGAUUUUAGAUAUAAAAUAUCAUUGUGCAAUUAAGAUAUUUAUUGUCAUUAUAUAAUGCAUUGUAUUUUGUAAUUUUAUCUAGUGUUGUUUUGUUUGUAGUUUUAAUGAGUUAUUGAAUAAGUUAUGAAUGUAGAUGUUAUUGUUUCUUAAUUAGGCUAAAUAAGGAUUAUAACCAACAAAUAAGAAAAUAAAAUUUAAAACUUCACUGAAGGAAUAGCCAACAAAAAUAAAAAUAUAUAUAUUAAUUAUUAAAUAACCAUUGAUGACUCCAUCGUUGAUUUAACUUACCGAUAAACUCAUUGAUGAAUGUUAAAAUCAUUAGAGAAUUAUAGAGAGUUGGAUAUAAUUUUGUUGGUGAUAUUGUAACUCAUUGACAGUCUCACCGACAAUCAUUAAAAUCAUUGGAGAAUUACAGAGAGUUUAUAAAAGAAUUUAAGAAUUUUAACCAACAGAUGGAUACACUGGCAAAUAAAAUUCCAUUGAUGAUAUUGUACUCACUAAUAGUCGCUAAAAUCAUUAGAGAAAUAUAGAGAGUUUUGGGAAGAAUUUAGGGGAUUUAACCAAUAGACGAAUUCAACGGUGGAAAAAAAUUUCAUCGAUGAUAUUGUACUAAGCAAUGAACUCAUCAAUGGACAUUAAAAAUCAUUAAAGAAUUAUAAAGAGUUUAAGGAAGAAUUCAUAGGAUUGGAUUCACUGAUGAAAAUACAUAUAGAUGGAAAUUCAUCAAUGAAUUUGAGGGUUUUCAAAAGAUUUUAUAAAUUUUUGAAAUGACCGAUAAAUUUAUUGAUUAUUGUAAAAUAUCUUAUCGAUGAUUUUAUUGGUGAUGUGUUAACAUGUUAAAUCACCGACAGACUUAUCAAAAGAAGAUCUCACCGAUGAAUUCAAACCUAGAUAUACAAGGAAAUCUCUGACUUUCCCCCAUUUUCCUUAAACUUUAUACUCUCUCUACUUCUCUCUUCUCUCUUUCUUUUUUACCAAGCGAUUGAUGUUUUCUCUUUUUCUAGAAUUGGGUGGUGAGGACUCUCUCUUUUCUUUAGAUGAUGACACAAACUCUCUCUCUCUCUCUCUCUCUCUCUCUAUCUAUCCACUACUUAAGGUUUGUAAAACCCUCUGUAUAAGAUAUAUUUGAAAUGCUUUCAAUGGAUAAGUACAUAAUUACAAUUUAGACUUAUGUUUCAGGUGUUGGUUAUGUUUUAUUUCUUAUCUUUCCCCUAAAUGAAUAUGCUUUUGACUUUUGGGCUAUUGGGUUAUGUAUUGGAAUUGCUCAUGAUCGGAGGUUAGUAUAUGGAAACUGAUAAAACCAUUGACUAAAAGAUUAAUAGAAACAAACAUAAGUUAUUAUCUUUUAACUACUAAAUUGAUUUAGAACCAAUAACCAUAGCAAAUUAAAAACCCUAGUCAAAUUUAUAUAUAAUAUUGAUUCUUGUUAAAUCCAUUAAUGAAAGUUAAGCUUUAUUGUUGAAUGUCACCAUAUCAUCAUGUAUAGAAAGUCUAUUAUACCUUUAGGCAUCAUGUCAUGGUAAAUUGUUGAAUAGUUUGUCCUAAAAAGUAGUCAAUCAUAUCUUAAACUCUUAGAUGAUUUUAACUAGGCAUUCAAUACUACCAAUCACUUCUAUAUUUGUUUUGUUUUUUUUCUUUAAAAGAGGCCUUAUGGCAAUUAAUAAUCAGGAAAUUUAUAUAGAUUAUUGAAUGUUCCAACAUUUUCAUCAUCUUAAUAUCCAUCAUUUUCAUUUCAAUAAAAUUUGAAUUAAUGAGACAUAUUAAUUAUAUUAAUGGAAUACAUAUAUAUAUAUAUAUAUAUAUAUAUAUAUAUAUAUAUAUAUGAUAUUGUUUUUUUUGUUCUCUUUUUUUUUCCAUUUUCUAAUGCCAAUUUUUGACUAUAAAUCUUUGUACAAACAAGCCUUGUCAAAUUUUAAAUAAUAAGACUCAUAGGCUAAGCUUUCUUAUUACUUAUGGUCAAUUAUAUCUAUGCUUCAAUGAAGGCUUGUGUUCAGAUAUGUUCUCAUAGGUCUAGGUCUAGAUGCAACAUGUUAGGUUUGUAAAUAUAACUUGUUUGUUCUAGUGAAUGAAUUGUUAUUGAGUUUGUUUAUACUUGAUAUUCUUGUUAUUGAGGGUAAGUUUUGUUAAUGAUUUGUGAUAUUUGAUCGUGGAAAAUGAUUUGAUUUAUUAUAUUUAGUUAUAUGUAUUUUUAUUUAGAUUUUGGGUGGGAUCACAUAUAAGAGCUUUGCUGCUAAUAUUUUUUUAUAAAUGAAUAUAUGCAUUAAAAUGAAAUAUCAUAAACCAUAGAUUAAGAAUUUAAUUUAAUAUGCUUAAUUAUUUAGUUAUAUUGUGUAGAUGCCAGGAAAAAAAAUAUAAGGUUUAAAUAUAGCAGUUGUGCUUUUUCAAGUAGUGUUCGAGAGCCUUUGAUGCAUUUAGAUGUCAAUCAUAAAGAGACACUUUAUGCACUUGCUAAUGGCGUAGGCUCAUUGAGUAUGAGUCGCAGAUCUGACAUCCUAUCUGCCAGAGAUUCUUAUUCUAACAAGUUAAUAAUGGAAUGGAAGGUGGAUUUAACCAUGUAAGAAAAUUUGUUUUCUUCAAACAUAACAUUAAAUUAAUGACCAUGUGUUUAUAUAAUUUGAAGUUAAUUAAUUGAUUUUCAGGCUCACAACUAUAGAAGUUGAGCGAACGAUAAUAUCGACAAUGACAGCAUCGAUGAAAGUGCCUCUAUUUUAGUAAAGCUAGCUUAGAGAGCAUCCAUAGUGGAUGCUUAUGGUUGAGGCUUUGUGAGGGAAGUUUAAGGUCAGUGCAUAUAUAAUCUAUACUUUUAGUUAAUAUACAUUUGUUUUUAAAUUUUUAAAUUAAUUAUUUUAUUCCAAUGAUUAUAAGAAAAAUUUUUGGUGGGAUGGUGCAAACUCUAGGGUUGCCAGACAAGUCAGGAAAAAUCAUAGCGCAACUAGAUAAGUUAUAACGUAUUAAGUUUAUAAUUUUUGGUAAAAUUGUAAUUUUUUAUCAUUAUGUUUUUUUAGUUUAACGAACUUCUGAACCAAGUUACGUGAUUUCUAGUAUGACAUGCACACUUAUGCUAAGAGAAGAGUCGAGUCAGAUGUCUUUGAGGUGUGAAAGAUUUUUAGACCUCCUUACAUCACUGAAAGUAAUUGGGAGAGAUAUAUAGAGUUCUUGAUGUUAGAGGGUUUUAGAAGACAGUCAUGGAGCGAGUUUUCAAACAGUAACAAGGAGACUCACAGUUUCAUUAUCAAGUAUAUUAAUGGGUCACUUCCUUGUACUAACCAUGCAAAACGCCUGGUAAGAGCCUAUUUUAUUUUUAAUUAGUUUUCUUAAAAUGGUAGUUAUUAUUUGAAGAACGUUUAAUUAUUGAUUUAUUUUGCAAACAAUAUAGCUUAAGCGUGAGCAAACUCUGAUGGAGUUAUAUAUGGAAACACAUAUGCAGAGGGGGAAGAUAAAUAAAAAGGGUGCAAUAGUUCAUGGACAGCGGAGUUGUUUAUUGUAAGUAAACUUUUAAAUUUUUUUAUAUUGUUUGGACUAAUAUUUUUUAUCCAUAUCUUUGACUUUUUUAUGUAAGAAUAAUAUAACUGUGACAUACUUACCAAACACAAAGAGGACCCUUUAACUCAUCCAGAAUACAAUCUAGAGUUGUGAUUAGAAGUUGGAGCAAUAGGUGGACACAAUAGGAAUCAGGUUUAUAGUAUCUUUAUGAUUACGGCUCGAGAUAUGACAUAAGAUUGUAGUGUCUCGAUCAUAGGCACCCCAUAAUCCGACUCGAGGAAGCCAUCACCAACUGUUAAGGAGUUGUUGAACAAUGAAUUGGAGCUCUAAGGAUCGAAAUGGAGGCAAAGUAGAAAGAAUAAAGUAAGAAGCAAUGAAAGGAGCUGAUGACAUACUUGUACAGUAAUUAUCCUGCCCCUUAUGGACCUCUAAGAGAUUUUCCUCUCCCUCUCCCUCCACCUCCACCUACGAGCCAACUUUUUAUUAAUAUAUAUAGACAUUUGUAAUUGAUUUUUAUAGUUAAAUUAAUAAUAUAAAAUGUGUUCUUCAAUUUAAAUUAGUUGUUUAAUGUUGUUUAAUGUUACAUUGUUUGAUAACAUUUUAAAAAAAUUAAUUAACUAAAACACCAACGAAAUCACUGAUGGACAUAAAAAAAUCGUAGAUCAAAUAGGAUCAUUUUUCUCAAAGAAUUACAGAGAGUUGUGAAUUGUUUUGAUAUAAACCAACAGAUUCACCAACAAAACAUGUCGGCCAAUCCCCUAGUGACACACAAUAUAUCACCGAUGAAUUUACUCGUUGAUAAUCCAUCGGUAAUAUUUACCAUCAGAUAUGCGAACAGACAAUGAUCGAUGCCUAUUUUUAUCACUGAUGACAAUAAUUUUUUGGUAUAAAACUAACCGAUAAAAUUACUAACAGAUAAGAUAUCAGCAACGAGACACUUGUCGACGACAAGUUUUCAUCAAUAAAUUAAUUGAAGAUUUUUAUAUCGAUAAAAAUAAAACAAUUUUCUAAGAAUUUUUAUACUAAUAGAAUAUUUUGUUACAUGUGUGUAUAUUAAUUUUCUAGUUCUAGAAUAUGAGGUCACACAACUUAUAAUCCGACUCACAAUCAUACCUAAGAAUAUUUAAAGAAAGAAUUCCUUGGUUAUAAUUACUAUAUCAUCCGCCAAAUUAUCAGUAUUACUAUUUCAUCAUGUCUAUUUUUUUUUUUAAGCAUCUUCAAUUGGCGUAAUCCAAAAUAUGCAUUUGGGAGUACAUUGCAUUCUUCAAGACGUUAAGCCCAAAUAUUUUGAAGAGUUGGCAAGUCGUGAACAUGAUAGCAUUGCUAUAGUCAAGAGUUGAAAGCGUGCUUACACAAGAUCCAAAGAAAUAUCGCAAAGCACUUGACGCCUAUAAUAACGAGGGCACAAUUCUUGGAGAGUUGAAAAUGACGGGCCCAUUAAGUUCAUGAAAGGCCAGGGACGAGCUUCUAAAGAAAUAUCCAAUCUGUGACUCGGGCAUGCCGAAAUUAAGCACCCUUUGGGCCAAGCAUGCAUGGUCUACUUUUCAUAGUGGGGUCCGCAAAUGGAGAAGUUAACAAUCUUGUUGUGUUGAUCCAUUACCAGGUCAACACCACAGGCUAUCGUCGAAAGAACAAAUUGGAAGGAAGAAAACCGCUGCAUCUUUAUUUUCUAUUUCACACGUUCAACUCCAAUGCAAACCCAUAAAUAUCUCUUAUAUAAUUAAGUACUCGUAUCUUCAGAUAAAAGACCGAACCUGUUUCAUAUUCUGCGUGGAGAAGAUGGCCAAGUUUUCUGCGUUGUUUUGUUUUAUCAUACUGGUAAUUUCUGGGUGUGCCUGUAUUGACUCGGCAAUGGGGGGAGAGAUUGGGAUAUACGAGCUCAAGAAGGGAAAUCUCAGCAUGAAGCUUACCAAUUAUGGUGCCCGUAUCAUCUCCCUUGUUCUCCCUGAUAAAAAUGGUAUGUUGUCUUCUUCGAUCCAUUUUGUGAAUUCAAUCUCUUGAGAUUUCCUGUUUGUUAUUAUAUAUAUUGAUCUCAAGUUCAAGAAUACGAGUUCUUGUGCUGAUAACGUCUGCUUGUUGACGAACACUUGACAGGAAAGCUAGGUGAUGUUGCUCUUGGCUUUGAUACUAUUGAGGAAUUCAUGGUGAGGAUUUUCUCUCUUUAAUUUGUUUUUCAUGUUUUAGUUUUGGGUUUAUGAAAGAAGGGAUCAUUUCGCAUUCUUUCUUGUGGAAAAUGAUUCCCAUAGGAAUGGCCUUUGUCUGCCUGUCUGUCCGUUUGUGUCUCUUUCAAGGACAUUCAAGCACAUGGUGCUGCUCAUGCAGGACUCCCGCUGCAGUGCUAUACAGUAUUCCACUACACCUGCACCCACACCCUAGCUAGUUGCUAUUAGACAAAUGUGUUGUAGCUAAAUCUGCCGCAAAUUUUGCUUUGCCAAAAUGCUUUGCCUAUGACUUUUCAAAGAAGGUAAUUAAUUGUAAGACCAUGAGAAUUGACCUUUGACAUUUCCAAAUUCCACACACACACAUUUAUAUUAGAAAACUAAUAGUGUGAUUUGUAAAUGUUAAUCAUAUUUUUUAUAUUUUUUAGAAAAAUAUCAAUUUGAUAUUUUUUAGGUAAAAAAAAAUUAAAAAAACAAAAACUAGUACAAUGUUAAAUGAACACUAAAUGAUUGUUCAUUUCUACUUUUUAAAGUAUUUUUCAAAUUGAUUUUUUUGUGAAAAAUUAUUAAAAUAAUAUUUUUAGAUAAUUUUAAUAUAUUUUACCUAUGACUUUUCAAAGGUAAUUAACUGUAAGACCAUGAUAAUUGACCUUGACAUUUCCAAAUUCCACUUUGUUUGUUUUUUUAAUAUAUAUAUUUUUUAUAUAGAUAUUGAAAAAUUAUUAAUGUGUUUGGUAUUGUGAAAUAUUUUUUUUAUAUUAGUAUAUUAAAAUUAUAAAAAAAUAUUUAAAAAAUAUCAAUUUAAUAUUUUUAGGUAAAAUGUAAUUUGAAAAACAAAAUCUACCACAAUGUCAAAUAGAUACUAAAUAAUUGUUUGUUUUUUUUAUUUUUAAAGUACUUUUCAAAUUGUUUUUUGCAUGAAAAAUCAUUAAAUUGAUUGUUUUUUAAGUGUUCUUAUAUGAUUUUGAUAUACUAAUAUAAAAAUUAAAAAAUAUAUAAAAAAUAUUAUUUUAAUAUAUUUUUAAUUAAAAUUAAUUUAAAAAAAUACAUUACAUCAUAAUAUCAAAUAUUAACUAAUUACAUAUGGUAGGGGGAAAAGAAGAACACAGAAGGACAGUGUCCUGCAAGAACUAGGGUUAAUAAUAGAUAAAAAAAAAAAUCCUAACAAAAACCUAUACAUACAUAGAGAGAACUUCUGUUAUUGUUUUUUUCCCAGCAUUCAAUCUUGUCAAAAGUACACACAAAAAACUGUUUAUUUGAGACUACUUAGAAUAGGGUUUUAAGUUCUAAAUUAUCGGUUAAUUAGAGAAGAUUUUAACAUGUAAGAAAAAUAGCAUGACCCAUUUUAUACUUUAAUAAUUGUUUUGUUCUUCUUAACAAAUGUUUGGUCUUUCAAAUUAUUGCUUUUUCUGCAAAAAGAAAAAAAAGAACAAAGAAAAAAGUAAAUUCAUCUCUGACAUACAGAAACUGUUCUGUCUGUUAGUGCAUUUUGUCAGACACUUUAUGCUUUGUUUCAUGUCAAGUACUAAGAUUUUCCAUUUAUAAUUUCCCUUGAAUUAUCUAUGAAAUUGAUAGACUUAAUUUGUGCAGAAUGCUUCAUCACCUUUUGGGGCCACUGUGGGACGGGUUGCCAAUAGAAUCUCUAAUGCCCAGUUUACCUUGAAUGGAACUGUUUACAAACUACCUGCUAAUUCAGGGAAUAACACGAUUCAUGGUAACCUUACAUCAUAUUACACCUAGCAAAGUGGAAGCUUAAUUUCCUCAGAUUGCUUUUUUACUAAUUUGAUGAGAUUUCUUGUUUCUUUCUGAACGACUUGCUUAUGUGGAUAUCAGGCGGGCCUAUAGGAUUCAGUAAGGUUGUUUGGAAAGUGAAAAAGUAUAGCCCAGAUGGUCUUGUUCCUUACAUUGUUUUUGCUUAUCACAGCUUUGAUGGUGAACAAGGUAAGAACAUAUAGUCUGUUAAGGCUAUAGUUUUAAUUUUCCACACUAUAGAGGCUCACAUAUAACAUCUAUGAUACAUCUAAGAGCAUGAAUGACACAUUUAAUGUGAAGAUUAUUUUCAUAUUCACAGGAUUCCCUGGUGAUCUCCUUGUAGAAACAAGCUACACGCUCCUUGGAGACAACCAACUGUGUAUAACAAUGGAAGCAAAAGCUAGAAACAAGGCCACGCCGGUUAAUCUAGUAAACCAUGCCUUUUGGAACCUUGGUGGCCACAAUAGUGGCGAUAUCUUGUCAGAAAAAAUUCAGAUUUUUGCUUCGCGUUACACUCCUGUUGACAGUAAGCUCAUUCCUACAGGAAAGAUUGUGACAGUGAAAGAAACACCCUAUGAUUUUCUCAAGCCUAACACCAUUGGCAGCAAGAUCAACGAACUCCCUAAAGGCUAUGACAUCAACUACGCACUUGAUGGAAGUGGAAACAAGAAGUUGAGGAAAGCAGCAAUUGUGCAUGACGAGAAAUCUGGAAGAGCAAUGGAGAUAUUAACCAAUCAACCUGGCGUGCAGUUCUUCACCAGCAACACUUUGAACGUGAAGGGAAAAGGUGGUUUUAUGUAUAAACCUCAUGGAGCUCUAUGUCUAGAGACUCAAGGAUUUCCUGAUUCUGUUAACCAUCCCAACUUCCCUUCACAGAUUGUGAAUCC
rnacentral:lncRNA from 1 species